rnacentral:lncRNA from 13 species
CUUAGAUCCUCACCAUGGAAACCUGGUGUGUGUCCAGGUAGCAAAGCCCAUGAACGUGUGGGCUCCCUCACGCCUCCUGCCAUGCUGUGGUUUCCAGAAAUUUCUCAGUCUCUUGCUGGUCUGCACUAAGCCUCCAGCAACUCAGACGAGCGAGUGUGUGCUUCCUCCAGUCCGUGGCUCCAGCGCUCCUGCUCCGGGUACACAGACCGUGCAUGUCACCAAAGACUUGGAGUCUGAAGCAGCACAGUUCUGCAGGUCGAAAGUCCAGGCAUGGCUAGUUGAUCUUUCACCUUGGGAUCUCGUGAACGUGAAAUCAAGCUGUUGGCCUGGCUGCUUUAUCAUCUGGAAGUUCUGGGGAAAGCACGGUCGUGAUUGGGCACUUGAUGAUGAGCUAGAACUCACAGAAGGAAGACCGCCCUCAAAGGAGAUACAUACAUUUGUGAUUUAAAUCACAUUUGCCUCCUAAAUGUGGAAGAACUAAUCAGAACUCUUUCAGCCAAUGGGCAAGAAGCAGAGCAGAGCUCGGCUGGAA